AGAUGACAACAAUCCCUCCACCACCAUCAACAACAUUCACCUCUGCUAGAAAUGAUGAUACAGGUCUUUGGUGGAGAAGGGUCUAUGUUCCCGUGGGUGUGGCAGCUCUCUCCAUCAUCGUCGUGUCAGUUCACAUCUGGACAAAAACUAACGGUAACAAGACUGAUCAUAACAAAACUGUGA